rnacentral:rRNA from 1 species
CCUACGGGUGGCAGCAGUGAGGAAUAUUGGUCAAUGGACGAGAGUCUGAACCAGCCAAGUAGCGUGAAGGAUGACUGCCCUAUGGGUUGUAAACUUCUUUUAUAUGGGAAUAAAACGUUCCACGUGUGGGAUUUUGUAUGUACCUUAUGAAUAAGGAUCGGCUAACUCCGUGCCAGCAGCCGCGGUAAUACGGAGGAUCCGAGCGUUAUCCGGAUUUAUUGGGUUUAAAGGGAGCGUAGGUGGAUUGUUAAGUCAGUUGUGAAAGUUUGCGGCUCAACCGUAAAAUUGCAGUUGAAACUGGCAGUCUUGAGUAGAGUAGAGGUAGGCGGAAUGCGUGGUGUAGCGGUGAAAUGCUUAGAUAUCACGAAGAACUCCGAUUGCGAAGGCAGUUCACUGGACUGCAACUGACACUGAGGCACGAAAGUGUGGGUAUCAAACAGGAUUAGAUACCCCGGUAGUC